GCCUCGGUAGCUCAAUGGUAGAGCGCCUGCCUGUUAAGCAGGAUGCUGGAGGUUCGAGCCCUCCCCGGGGCG
rnacentral:tRNA from 1 species